CAGCCGCCGCGGGAAUACGUAGGGUGCGAGCGUUAAUCGGAAUUACUGGGCGUAAAGGACGCGUAGGCGGAUUAUCAAGUCUCUUGUGAAAUCUAACGGCUUAACCGUUAAACUGCUUGGGAAACUGAUAAUCUAGAGUAAGGGAGAGGCAGAUGGAAUUCUUGGUGCAGGGGUAAAAUCCGUAGAUAUCAAGAAGAAUACCUAUUGCGAAGGCGAUCUGCUGGAACUUAACUGACGCUAAUGCGUGAAAGCGUGGGGAGCAAACAGGAUUAGAUACCCCUGUAGUCCCUGUCUCUUAUAA
rnacentral:rRNA from 1 species